rnacentral:rRNA from 1 species
AUCAUUACAGAGCGAGCGAGGGUUCCGGCCCGAGUUCGACAACCCUUUGAUUUAUCGAGACCUCCUUAUGCCUCGGGGGCGACCCGGCCUUCGGGCUUUGGGUCCCCCCGGCGGUACAACCUUCAAACCCUGCAUCAAUUGUCGUCUGAGCAAAAAGUUAAUUCCAUUA